rnacentral:lncRNA from 1 species
CAAGUCGUACACAGGCAUAAUUUGAAAAUAUCUGGGUCUUUAUCUUUAGAUUCUGGUAUCUUUCAAUGUAUUGCCAAAAAUGAUGCUGGCAAUAUUCAAACUGCUGUUAAGCUGAUCGUUUUAAACACAGGCCAAGAAAUUCCUGAUCUCAUCAGUUCUGAAAAAUCCUCUUCUCUAGCUCCUAUCAAUCCUUCCUCAUUCUCAGGUGAAGCAUCAAAACCAAAACUCCAAGGUGCCUUACCUGCCCCAAGGAAUUUAAGGGCUAUUACGGUGUCAAGAAGAUUUGUAGUCUUAC